UGCCAGACUCCUACGGGAGGCAGCAGUGGGGGAUAUUGCACAAUGGGGGAAACCCUGAUGCAGCAACGCCGCGUGAGUGAAGAAGUAUUUCGGUAUGUAAAGCUCUAUCAGCAGGGAAGAAGAUGACGGUACCUGAUUAAGAAGCCCCGGCUAACUACGUGCCAGCAGCCGCGGUAAUACGUAGGGGGCAAGCGUUAUCCGGAUUUACUGGGUGUAAAGGGAGCGUAGACGGCAUGGCAAGUCUGAAGUGAAAGCCCGGGGCUCAACCGCGGGACUGCUUUGGAAACUGUUAAGCUGGAGUGCAGGAGAGGUAAGUGGAAUUCCUAGUGUAGCGGUGAAAUGCGUAGAUAUUAGGAGGAACACCAGUGGCGAAGGCGGCGUACUGGACUGUAACUGACGUUGAGGCUCGAAAGCGUGGGGAGCAAACAGGAUUAGAUACCCGCGUACUU
rnacentral:rRNA from 1 species